rnacentral:lncRNA from 1 species
ACCCUCCGACCUCCGCAGUCGGAUUCCGAGCCCUAGUCUACGCUUUUGACCCCAGCCUCGCCUGCCGGCGUGGGCAGGAGAAGAAACGGCCUCCGGACUGUGACAUUUCUGGCCAGUCUUCAGAGCACGAACGCUUCCCCUGCAGACAGCCCGGAGACGGCCAGAGGGGAGCCGCACUGAGGCCUGCCGCCCCGCGGGGAAGCCAUUCUGGUGGCGGACGGACCAGCUACCCUCCACCCGCCGGCACCCCGGGUCGGCCAGCCGGAGUGGCUGAAGCAGCAGCGUUGUGAAGGAGAGUGCCGGGGGAGGCGAGCCGCUGCCGUCUCCUCCCUUCAGAGCCGGAUGGAGGAGGCCCAGGACCCUGAGUUCGGAGAUCUUAGAGCCAGCCGUCACCCCUUUGCUCGAGUCCAACAAGGCUGCUUCUCAGGAAGAGGGGUAUCGCCAUCUGCACCAACAACGCUCCGGCAGGGAAGCCCAGGAACUCGGACGGUCGCCGCACUUAUCUUUCAGCCCACCCUUCGCGGCCUUUAUCCUAGGAAACAACCCUCAAGGAGAUAAAUAAAGCCUGGCAACUGAUUCUGGGGAUUCUGUAGCCUCUACUCUUGAAGACCCAGAAAAUGGUUCAGCAUCAGAAAUUGAUCCGUGGUUUCAUCAGUGGAAAUGACGUUAAAGAAAAGGCAUUACCUUUUGCACUGUACGCUGAGGACCAUGGGGAAUUUCCAUCCCACUUGGAGUUAAGAACUUCCGUGUCGUCUUUCUGACCCCCAUUAGGACGUUGAGCUCCUCCAGAACAGCUGCGGUCUUAUUUUUCAUUUUUGUAUCCAGAGCUAAGAGGUGGAGGGCCCUGUUCAUGGAACAGCCAGGAGGCUGGGGUCGUUGAAUUGAGGAGCGUGUGUUGGGGAGUAAGGUGUAAAAAGUCUGGAAUUUCAGGAGGGCCCGAGUUAGUGCUAUGCAGAACAUUUUGGUUUUGACUCUGAAAGCAGUGAGGAGGCUCUGAAGUUCAUUGAGCAAGAGGUGAUAUGGUCAGACUGAAUUUUAGGAAGAUCACUGUAGUGGCUGAAUGGAAGAUGUGGAGAGACACUGAGGCAGGCUCCCCUGCCUCCUCCCAGCAGCUGUUGCCAGAACCUGCACCAAGAAUUAUCCCAUAGACAAAUACUACAGUAAUUUUUAGAAAGGGAGAAAAAGUCAGCAAAAGUGAGAGUUACAAUGAAAAGUUGCUGUUUAUAAGACGGGAUCCUCUAUUCAUAAAAAACCUGACUAAAAUUUUCCAGAUUAUAUGACAAGAGGAAGUUAUUCUCAGUAAUUCAAAGAUGACCCCUUUGUUCAUAUCUUAAAAGAAAAUAGGUUGUCCUAUGACAAUCACAGGGAUUUUUCUCUUAAUCAUUGCCUGCAAGAUUCUUUUCAGAUCCUCUUUAAUAUAUUGAUCCUUCACCUGAAAGGUGGAAGUCCAUAGGAGAGCCAGUGUGGCUUCAAUAACUGCUAAGGAAGAGUUACUAUGAUAUUUGUUACCCGAGAAAUCCCAGGAGCAGAACAGAGGUCCGUACACAACUUUCAUUGUUCUAACCAAAGCCUUUGACGCUGUCAGUCAUGAGGGCCUGUAGAAAAUUUUGGCAAAAUUUGGUUGCCUGGAGAAGUUCAUCAAUAUUGUACAUAGUAUUAUAAUAGCAUGGUUGCCCAGUUCUAGAUAAUGGACGAUGUGCUCUUACUUUCCCAGUCACCAAUGGAGUGAAGCAGGAAUAUGUGCUCGCUCCCAAGCUUGUUAGCAUGAUAUUUUCAGCAAUGUUGUUAAAUGCCUUCAGUGAUGGUGAACGUGACAUCAAGGUCAACUAUUGCAAUGUCUGCGAAUUAUUUAAUUUGAAAAGGUUACAAGCCGAGACUAAAGUGGAGAAAGAGUUGGUUCAUCAUUUUUUGUUUCAAGAUGAAUGCAGACUCUGAGGAUGAGAUUCAAGAAAGUAUGGAUCUGCUGCUUGUGCUAAUUGCCUAACAAUGAACACAAAGAAAACAUAGAUGGUCCACUGGCCAACACCACACCAUUCAUAUAUGGAACAGCAAAUGGAGAAAUUUUGAAAGCUGUAAAUAAGUUCACUUACCAUAGCAGUAUGCUUUCCAGGGAUGUACAUAUGAUGAUAAGGUUAAUGCAUACAUUGCCAGAGAUAAUUCAGAGUUUGGGGGGCUCUGAAGGGAUAUGUAAAAGAAAAGAAGUAUUAGACUGACUACCAAACUGAAGCUGUUGUGCCAAUUUCAUUGCUGUGUGCCUUUGAUACCUGGACAGUAUACCAGUGCCAUGCCAGGAAACUGAAUUGUUUCCAUUUCAAUUGGCUUAGGAAGGUUCUGAAGAUCACCUGGAAAGAUAAAGUACCGGACACUGAAGUCCCUUCUUGAACUAAGUUUCCAAAUAUUUAAAUUUUCCCUCAGAAUACACAACUAAUAGGCUGGCCAUGUUGUUUGAAUAUCAAAUGUAUAUUUGCCUAGAAGAUUGUACUAUGAAGAAUUUAUACAAAUCAAGCACUCACAUGGAGGUCAGAAGAAGUGAUACAAGGCACUCUCAAGGUCUUUCUGAAGAACUUUGGAAUUGAUUGUGUAACAUGAGAAACUUUGUCAAGGAAUCAUACAGCAUAGUGUGCUGUCAUCAGAGAAAGUGCUAUUGCAAAGCAGAAUUAUAAUAACUAGAGAGAAACAAAAUGCCCAGAUUUAAAGAUAUCUCCACUCUGAAUGUUCAUGUGAUCUUUGUGACUGACCUAUGGUAGAGCCACAUAGGUCUGAUCAGCCAUGGUCACAAUACUUUAUUCCAACAUAAUGAUGUCAUUUUGGUCCUUAUCAGUUCAUAUAGCUCAUCCUAUGCUUUUCCACAUUUGUCAUACACAUAAUUUCUGACAACCCAAUAAUAUUCCAUUAUAGUCAUACGUCACAGUCUGGUUAGUCUUUCCCCAAUCAAGGGAUAUCUUUUUUAUUUGUUUGUUUCCAGUUCUUGGCUAUUGCACACACAAAAUAGUGCUGCUAUAAAUAUUUUGACAUAUAUGGGAGGACUUUUUUCUUAUUGAUAAAUUCCAUGGGAUUUAGAUCCAGUAACAGAGUCUCUGGUUCAAAGGACACGGACAUUUUAAUCAUUUUAUUUGCAAAAUUCCAAAUUGCUUUUCAGAAUGGUUAUACCAUUUCACAGCUGCACUAACAAUAUGUUGGUGUACCUGCCUUCUCACAACCUUUCCAACAUAGUUGCUAUUCUUUGUCAUUUUUGCAAAUUUACAGGGUGUGAGAUAAAAAUUUCAGAGUUGUUUUGUUGUUCAUUUCUCUUCUUUCUUUGAAACAUUCUUUCAUGUGGUUAUGAAUACUUUUCAGUUCUGCUUUCAAAAACUUUUUGGUCAUAUCCUUUGGACAUUUAUCUGUUACUAAUUACAUUUUAAUUUUGUUUAGUCCCAAAUGUAAGCCAUGUGCUUGACACCUCUGCUUUAAAUUAUUCAGUCUUCAUCUGCUCUUUUUUCUAGUACAAAACAUUGUAGGUCUCUAACUAGAAGGGAUCUCAUGAGUUUGUUUAGUUCAAGCUUCUCUCAUUUUAAAGUUUUUGAAACUAAGAUCCAGUGAAGUUUGAUGUGCCAAAGUCAUGCAAUUAAUGGCAGAAUCAAGAUUUAAUCCUAGAUUCUCUAGCUUCACAUUCUUUGGUCUUUCCUUGAUGCUCUUAUUCUUUGCUAUGACUAAAUUCUCUGCUGUGCUAUUGAUUUCUUCUCCUUUGUCCUUCUGUAGACUUUAUUCCACAAUAGUGCCCUGUUUUAUGCAUCUUUUUUCCCCCAUUGACUUCUUACUAACUGCUUAGUGACAUAUUCCAGGCUCCUGUUAAUCACUAUUCCUGGCUCUUUCCUGGGUAAUUUCAUAGUUAACAUCUGAUAAAUCCCAGCUGUUUUGCCACCGCUGCUUUUGCCAAUAUAAACAUAUUGCCUCUACCCUUAUUUUUCCCCCUUUUAUAAAGGAAGUUUGGUUUCUACCUCCCCUUUCUCUUAUUCCGUUGUUAAAUAGUGGCUCCAAAGUUUGUUCUUGAUAUCUCUAAGAAUACCACACUAGGUCUACCAGUUGUAGUAUUUUUACAUGAUAGUCAACCAUUUUGUAUAACGUGUUCAAUACCAAGCUAAAAAUUCUCAUGUAGUAUUUGAAAUGUUGAUAGAAACUAUUAAAUAUCCUUUCUCAAGCAAAACUAUUUUGUGAGGUUCAGUUUUGCUGGGAUUUAAAGAUCCUAAUAGUCUUGACACUCAAGCAGGCUUAACACUUGUGGGUGUUGAGCUGUUUCCCUUUUUCAAUCUCCUUUGUUAAUAUCUUACAGUAUUUUUUAAAAUACCCAUAAUCCCAUUUCUAACUAUGAUCCCAUCUCUUCUGCCAUUCACUUUCAAAACUCUUUAAAAAAACAACAGCAACAACAACAACUGUAUUCAGUGUCUCAAAUAUUUUACCAUAUGUCAUUUUCUCUUUGCUUUAUAAUGUGUUCUCUUUCAACCACCCUAUUGAAAUGGCUUUCUUGAGGCAGCUAGAUGGCUAGAACACUGGCCCUGAAGUCUGGAGGGCCUGAAUUCGAAUAUGACCUCAGACAGAACAUGUCCUAGCUAUGUGGUCCCAGGCAAGUCACUUAUCCCUAAUUGCCUCAGCAAAAAAAGGAAGGAAGGAAGGAAGAGAAAGAAAGAGAAAAAGAAAGGAAGGAAGAAAGAAAAAAAGAAAAACUGCUUCCUUAAAAAUCAUCAGUGACCCCAUUGCCAAACAUAAUAGCACAUUUAUAGUUCUUACCCAUUUUUAACUCUCUGAAAUAUUUGACACUGUUGUAUAUCACCUUGACUUUAACAAUGCCACAAAUUCUUGCCUCUACUUUUUUAACUGCUCUUCUGUCUCCUUGUACUUUUCACACCACUUUAAACAAGAUGUUCCCCCCAGGUUUCUUAUUUGGCUCUCUUCCAUUCUAAGUUUUACCUGUGAGAAUUUCCACCAGUUUUGCCAAAUACAUUAUUUAAGAAUAGAUUGGGAAAAUAGUGGCAGAGGCCAGGAAGGAGCAUUUGGAGUUAGAUGUCUUCAUCUAUAAUGUUUUGUUUGUUUUAAAAUGUAUUUUUACUUAUCUAGUGCCAUACCAAACUCCCAAAAAAUUAUUUUACAGAUCUAGAAAAAAUAAUAACAAAGUUCAUCUGGAGGAAUAAAAAGUCAAGCGUUUCAAGGGAAUUAAUGAAAAAAAAAAUGUCAUUGAAAGGCCUAGCUGUGCCAGACCUAAAACUAUAUCAUAAAACAGCAGUCAUCAAAACCAUUUGGUACUGGCUAAGAAACAAAGUAAUCAAUAAGUGGAAUAGGUUAGGUUCACAGGACAAAAUAGUCAAUGACUAUAGCAAUCUCGUGUUUGAGAAACCCAAAGACCCCAGCUUUUGGGAUAAGAACUCAGUAUUUGACCAAAACUGCUGGGAAAAUUGGAAACUAGUAUGACAAACUAGGUAUUGUUUCACACAUAAUACCAUAUACCAAGAUACCCAUAUACGAAAUGGGUUCAUGAUUUGGACAAAAGAGUGAUGUUAUAAGCAAACUGGAAGAACAUAGAAUAGUUUACCUCUCAGGAAUUUGUGACCUAAGGAAAACUGGAACUCAUUACUGAACACCAAAUAGAUAAUUUUGAUUAUAUUAAGUUAAAAGGGUUUUGUAUAAACAAAACUAAUGCAGACAAGAUUAAAAGGGAAGCAAUAAAUUGAGAAAACAUUUUUACAUUUAAUGGUUAAGCAAUUUGGAACUGUGCUCAAAAAGUUAUCAAAUAACAUACCCUUUGAUCCAGCAGUGUUUCUACUGGGCUUAUAUUCCAAAGAGAUCUCAAAGGAGGGAAAAGGACCCACAUGUGCAAAAAUGUUUGUGGCAGCUCUUUUUCAUAGUGGCAAGAAACUGGAAACUGAGUGGAUGCCCAUCAGUUGGAGAAUGGCUAAAUAAAUUAUGGCAUGUGAAAGAGAAUAUUAUUGUUCUAUAAGAAAUGAUCAGCAGGUUGAUUUCAGAGAGGCAUGGAGAGACUUACAUGAACUGAUGCUGAGUGAAGUGAGCAGAGCCAGGAGAUCAUUGUACACGGCAACAGCAAUAUUAUACAAUGAUCAAUUCUGAUGGACAUCGCUAUUUCCAACAAUGAGAUGAUUGAUGCCAGUUCCAAUGAUCUUGUGAUGAAGAGAGCCAUCUACACCCAGAGAGAGGACUGUGGGAACUGUAUGAAUCACAAUAUAACAUUCUUAUUCUUUUUGUUAUUGUUUGCUUGCAUUUUGUUUUCUUACUCAUUUUCUUUCCUUUUUGAUCUGAUUUUCUUAUGCAGUAAUAUAAUUGUGUAAAUAUGUCUACAUAUUGGAUUGCUUGCUAUCUAGGUGAGGGAAUGAGGGGAAGGAGGAGAAAUUUGGAACACAAGGCUAUCCAAGGGUCAGUGUUGAAAAAUUAUCUGUGCAUAUGUUUUAAAAAUAAAAAGCUUUCAAAAAUUAUUUUUAUUUUUAAAAUGUUAAUUUUUUAAAAUAUUUUUACAUCACCAUAAUUUUUCCCAAUAUACCCCUUCCCAGAAAAUAAUCCCACAUAAUAAAUGCUAUUUUUAAAGACUAAAAACAAAAAAAAAGGAGAGGAAGAAAUCAGCAUAAUUAUCACAUCAAAAAAUCUGAAAAUAUAUACAAUGUAUAACACCUGUGGAUCUCAGCUCUCUGUAUUCUCAUAUUUCCUUUUCAGCUAGUCUUGUUCCUGAGAAUUUCACAACAUUCUUUUUUAACAUUGUUAUAGUUAUUGUGUCAGUUGUUUUCUUGGCUCUGCUUUCCUGCAUCAAUUUGCACAGAUUUCUGUUUUUCAAUAUUCUUCCCACUCAUUUCUUACCUCAUUCAUAGUUUGAACAAAAACUUUGCCAAAUUCAAUUAUAUGUUGCAUUUGAGUGAUGCUUUUUUUCCAUCCUAAAUCAUGCCCUCCCUUUUAACAAAAAAGCAAUUAAGAAAACUGCUUCUGAUGACAAAGCCAACAUUCUGUCCCCAUACCAAAAAAGGGAGUGCUUUUUCAUUAGUUUUCCAAAAGGAAAACACAUCAUCAUCUUCAUUGAUGUUGUUUGUCCUUCAUUCUCAAAGAUCGUAACAUUAGGAAAGUGGUG